rnacentral:lncRNA from 1 species
AUAAGACAUUUCAACAAAAAAUGAAACUUGGUCAAGAUGAAUGACAAUUAAAUGGAAUUGUGUAUGCAUAUAUUCAUACAUAUGACAUGCAGACCACAGCUACAAAUUCAAUAUUUGGAAUUAGAUGUGAUCUGUCAUACUUUGUUAUUUUUUCCCCGAUGGACAAUACCAACGUACUAUAUACAGAAUGAUGUCGGUGGCGGGCGUGUCAUUCUCCAAGGUAAUGUUCCAUUCGCCCAUUUCUCCAAAUUAACUCGGGGCAAAGAUAAAUUUUCAUCUCAGCAAAGCCACAUUCCUCCUGGCAAGCGGGAAGACAAUGAACCCCAAGGGUUUGAAAUACAUAUUGUAUGAAUGAUAAGAUGAAGCUGUGAAAAAAUAAGGAAUUGGGACUAAGGGAAAAAUAAGAUUCACAUGGUGAAUAUGGAAC